rnacentral:lncRNA from 1 species
UUUAAGAAUAAAGUUCCAUUCACUACUAGAGUUUUAAAUAAAUACCAAUGACAAUGGAAUUUUGAAACCAAUUCUAGCAACAACUGGACUUGACCAAAGGCAUCAGGAAAACAAAUAUCGACUACAACAGAAUUUGCCAACAAUAACUGGACUUUAAGGUCAAGGGAUAUAAGAUCAACCAAAGAGAUCGGGGUAAAUGAAAAAAUGAGCGUGAAUCAUACUUUGGCUAUGCAUGAUUUGAAUUCUCUUUUAUGCAUGAUAUAUGAACUAUCAUGAUAUGAAAAUGAUGACGCUAGAUCAGACUGAGAGUUGGUAGAGACUGAUUUUGGGGGUUCUGAUUCCUCAACACCAAUAACUCGACCAAGUAUCUAUGAUGGAUGACCGUCAAAGGAGGAUUCACCAAAAUUUAUAGUUGUAUUCAAAUAAGGGGUCAUUCCAGAGGAUUGACAGGUUGUGCUCCAUGGAGAUCCUUGUUGAGCAGAUCUAGGAGUGCUUUUGCAACCUUGAGACUUUCGGGAAAAUAAAUGAUUUCCUUUUAAUCCUCACAUAUGUCAAAGCUAAUUUGUGUUUUUUCGGUAUGUUUCUUUUUUAAAAAAAAAUCUUUUCAAAUUCUAAAUUUCAUUAUUAACAAAUAAAUGACAUUUUGCAUAACAAAUAAAAACAUUGAAGAGCACAAUUGGCAGUGAUUGAUAGGCAAAAAUUGUAUUUAUUCAAGAAUGAUAGCACACAAAUGGCGUAGCUCCAUGUAAAUGUUACAACUUUGAAAAUGGAAAUGGGGAAAGGUUUAUAUUAAAUCCAAUGACCACUACUAUCCCUAAUAACCAUGACUCCACAAAACCUUGCUUGUGAAAGGAGCAACUGGAUUAAUCUUCUGCCUUUGGCUCUUUUGUGUUGAUUAGUUUUGUGUGAUGCAAUCUUUGCCUUUUGUCCCUGAUUUUUUCCUGGACCGGGUUUUCAGUCCACCGGGACGCUCUUUUUUAUCUAAGCCUCCAUUUUGAGUUUUCAACUUAGUGAGCUAUCAUUUUUUUAUUAACCCUAACAUUUACGUGGAUCUCCGUUUCGGAUUUUCGGUCCACCGGGAUACCCAUUUUUCAUUAGGUCGUCUUUUCAGGUUUUCGAGUUAGUAGGUUUUUAUUAGGCAUAAUAUUUUUUGACUGCAUUAGAGUUCACUGGGUGUGAGAGCUCUUCUUCAUCCAUAAUUAUAAGAAUCAGGGAACCUCCUGAUAAGGCCUUUAUUACAACAUAUGGGCCUCAUAGUUGGGACUUCAUUUCCCAUGUGAGUCCUUGUGUAUAAGUAAGAUAUUCUUGAGCACAUGGUCUCCUUCUCUGAAUUCUCAUAGACGGACCUUCUUGUCAAACGCCCUCUUGAGCCGCUUAUGGUACAACAGUCCAUGGCACAUGGAGGUCAUCCGUUUCUCAUAUAUGAGGUUCAACUGGUCAAGUCUAUUUUGGAUCCAUUCAGACUCUUCUAGCUUGGUCUUAAUUAAGAUUCUCAUCAAAGAUAUCUCCACCUCGAUUGGGAGAACAACCUCCAUCCCAUAUAUCAAGGAGAAUGGGGUUGCCCAUGUUGAAGUGUGGACUGAGGUCCGAUAUCCAUGAAAUGCGAAAGGUAGCAUCUUGUGCCAAUCCUUGUAGGAUUCACCAUUUUAUGCAAGAUUUUCUUGAUGUUUUUAUUAAUGGCUUCAAUGACAUCAUUCAUCUUAGGACGAUAUAGGGAAGAGUUAUGGUGCUCAAUCUUAAAGCUUCCACACAACUCUUUCAUUGUUUUGUUGUUCAAAUUUGUCCCAUUGUCUGUGAUGAUCCAACUUGGAACUCCAUAGCGGUAGAUAAUCUCCUUUUUAAGGAAACGAGUGACCAUAUUUUUCAUCAUGUUGGCAUAUGAGGCAACUUCUACCCACUUGGUGAAGUAAUCGAUGGCAACCAGGAUGAAAUGGUGAUCGUUGGAAGCUUUUGGCUCGAUGGUGCUAAUCAUGUCAAUGCCCCACAUUGAGAAUAAUCAAGGUGAUGUCAAAACAUUUAGCAGAGUUGGCGACACAUGAACUUUCUCAGUGUAGAUUUGACAUUUCUGACAUUUUCUGGCAUAAUUGAAGCAAUCAGACUCCAUGAUUAACCAGUAAUAACCAGCCUUUACGAACUUAUUCACCAUGGCAUGCCCAUUAGCAUGGGUUCCAAAGGAUCCCUCAUGAAUCUCUUUGAUCAAUAGAUAUGCUCCGUGUCUAUCCACGUAUCUGAGCAGAACCAUGUCAUGGUUUCUCUUGUAGAGUACAUCAUUGCUCAAGAAGAACUUGGAUGCUAAUUUCCUCAACAUUUUCUUAUCAAGGGUUGUUGCAUCUGCUGAACACUCUUGAUUUUUCAAAUAGCAUUUUAUGUCAUGAAACCAAGUUUUACCAUCAACCUCUUCUUCAACCAAUUAACAGUAGGCAGGCUCAACUUUCCGCUCUAUCAGGAUGAGAGGAGCUUUAUUUCAGAAUUUGACUUGGUACAUUGAAGCCAACAUAGCUAGAGCGGCAAUCACUUGAAUUCCAGUCCUUAGAACAUGACAAAAGGUGAUUUCAUCAAAGUAUUUUAUCAACUCCACGACAUAAGCACGAUACGGGAUCAACUUGGCAUCACGGGUUUCCCAUUCGCCUUUGACUUGGUAGAUCACAAAGACUGAGUCUCCAUAUACCUCAAGGAUUUUGAUUCGGAGGUCAAUUGUGACUUCAAUGCCUAGGAUGCAUGAUUCAUAUUCUUCUAUGUUGUUUGUGCAAUCAAAGCACAACCUUGCUAUGAAAUGAGUAUAACCACCAUUAGGAUUCAUCAGAACAACUCCCACGUCAUGCUCCAUGUAAUUGGAGGAACCAUUAAACAUGAGCUUCCAUUGAGAUCCUGGUCCAGGCCCUUCAUCAGGUCCUGGGAUUUAAAAUCUUUUAUUUCCAUAAUGUCUUCAUCAGGUAAGUCAAAUUUCAGCGGAUGGUAGUCUUCAACAUGCUGGUGUGCAAGGUAAUCAUACAACACACUUUCUUUAAUGGAUUUCUGAGAUACGUAUUGGAUGUCAUAUUCAGACAGGAGCAUCUUCCAAUGGGUGAGUCUUCCAGUUAAGGAAGGUUUCUCAAAUAUAUACUUUAUUGGAUCCAUCUUUGAGAUCAACAAAGUAGUAUGACAAAUCAUGUACUUCCUUAGACGAUGAACGACCCAUGAUAAAUCACAAAAUGUUUUCUCCAAGAGUGAAUAUCAGUUUUUACAAUCAAUAAACUUCUUGCUCAAAGAGUAAAUGGCAUGUUCCUUCCGACCGAUUUCAUCAUGUUUCCACAACAUGUAUCCCAUUGAUUCUUCAGGUACAAUCAAAUACAUAAAAAGUGGCUUCCCUUGAACAAGAGGAAUCAAAAUAGGAGGCUCUUGCAGAUAAUCUUUAAUCUUGUUGAAAGCUUUUUGUAAGUCAGAGUUCCAUUCAAUUGAUUGAUCUUUUUGAAGCAACUUGAAUAUAGGAUCACACGUAACGGUCAUAUGGGAGAUAAACCUGGAUAUGUAGUUCAAUCGUCUGAGGAAUCCUCUGACUUAUUUCUCGGUACAAGAAGCAGUCAUGUCUUGUAUUAGUCUUACCUUAUCGGAAACUACUUCAAUUCCUCAUUGACUAAUGAUGAAACCAAAUAACUUUCCUGAUCGAACACCAGAAGUGCAUUUAGCAGGGUUUAAUCGUAGUCGAAAUUUUCAGAGAUGCUCAAAUAGCUUCGGCAAGUGGUCUAUAUAAUCCUCUUCACUUUGGGAUUUAGCGAUCAUAUCAUCGACAUAAACCUCGAUUUCCUUGUGCACCAUAUCAUGGAAAAGAGUGACCAUUGCUCUUUGGUAAAUUGCCCUGACGUUUUUGAGACCGAAUGGAAUUACCUUAUAGCAAAAUGUUCCCCAAUGGGUGAUGAGUGUGGUCUUUUCCAUAUCUUCUAGAGCCAUCUUGAUUUGAUUGGAACCCGAGAAUUCGUCCAUGAAGGAGAAGACUGCGAACUUAGCAGUGUUGUAUACCAAAGUGUCAAUAUAUGGUAGGGGAAAUCGUCCUUCGAACUAUAUUUGUUUAGAUCCUUGUAAGCAAUGAACAUCCUAACUUUUCCAUCCUUCUUGUGUAAUGGCAUAAUAUUAGCUACCCAUUAAGGGUAUUACGCAACUGCUAGAAAAUUGGCAUCGAAUUGACGUUUGACCUCAUCACAAAUCUUCAGAGCCAUGUCGGGUCUCGCUCUUUAGAGCUUCUACUUCACUUGUGGGUAAUCUGGCUGAAGUGGCAACUUGUGGAUAACAAUAUCAGUAUCUAGACUUGGCAAAUCCUGAUACGACCAUGCAAAUACAUCCACAUAUUCUUGUAGAAACUUGAUCAACCUUUCUUGAUACUUGCCCCAAGUGUAGUCCCAACUUUGACCUAUUUAUUCUCUUCCUCGAUGCCAAGGUUGAUUGUCUCCACCGGUUCUUGAUGCGGCUGAAGGGUCUUGGACUCGUGCUCAAGAAGCCUUACCAUCUCUUCGGGGAUGUCAGAAUCUUCCUCACCCUCCACUUCCUCUUGGUAGAUGGGGAAUUCAAAGUUAUAGGAAGUAGUAGGGUCAUCUGAUUUAAUUGACUUAUUUAUUAUUCUACAUAUUUUUUGAAUGAUUGCUUUCUUAGAAAAGUGGAAAUAUAAAAAAAAAUGCAGAAGAAAGAAUUUUUUUUGUAGUUUUUGAAAAGAUUUCCAUUUUUCAGGAAAGAAAGACAGUAAAAAAACGAUAAGAAUUUGAACAAAAUGCUCUUUAUUUGCCAAAAUGAUUUUUUUUAAAUUUAAAGUGACCCUACAAAUGAUCCGUUAGUCUUGGACAAAGCUAAGGAUUUUGAAAAAACAAAGGAAAACACAAUUACUUUGACAUGAGAAAAAAUUAUGGAAUCUCAACUACCUCCCACUUUGUUAAGGCUACUUCACACCGAUAUAUUAUAUUUGAUGCUUCUUCAUCUUCAGUGUCAUCUUCAACUGCACCGACUUGAUCUGCAUGGACAAAACCUGUGUUGAGGAACACUUCUUGGAUGUUUCGCAUGCGGUCCUUUACAGGGACCAGGGCUCCUUUUAUUAGCAGAAGGUUUGUACCCCAACCCGAAACGAUCCUUUUCUUCGCUGACAUCGAUGGCUUGCCCCUAACCUGUAGGGCCUCCACUUUCAACUGCUGACUUCGUGCUUUUCAAAGAUGUAAAUGACAAACUAGCUUUCUCAAUGGGUUAAUUACUUCCACAAACGUGGCAUUAGCUAUCUCGUAUGCUUGGAAACAAGUUUCUAAAGCAUCUUCAUCAUCCUUGAUUAAUCGGAAAGAAGAGAGUUGACUGAUGAUGAAAUCUUCUUCACCUGAAACAAUGACGAGCUUGUUGUUGACGAUAAACUUCAUUUUCUGAUGUAUGGUAGAAGUCAUUACCCCAACAACAUGUAUCCAUGGAUGUCCCAAAAGGCAGCUAUAAGCGAGAUUGAUGUCCAUGACUUGAAAAGUGAUCGGGAGCACACGCGAGUUGAUUUAGAUUAGUAGCUCCACCUCUCCUAUCUUUGUCUUCCGGGAUCCGUCAAAUGCUUUUACCACAAGCGCAUUGGGUUUCAUCUCUAUCCCCUGGUAAGACAAUUUAACAAGUUCCCUUUUUGGUAGGGCAUUGAGGGAAUUUCCAGUGUCAAUUAUAACCCUAGAUAGAGCAUCUUCUUGGAACUUUAUGGACACAUGUAAGGCACGGUUGUGAUUUUGUCCUUCCUUAGGCAACUUUUCAUUGCUGAAACUUAGAGCGUUGCAAGCUGUGAUAUUGGCAACCACUCCGUCGACUUGUCCAACCGUUAUAUCUUGAGUAACAUGAGCUUGGUCUAGCACUUUCAGUAAAGCCUCCCUAUGAGCUUAGGAGUUCAGUAGCAAAGAUAGGAUAUAUAUCUUUGACGUUAUUUGAUGUAGCUGAUUAACUAUCUUGUAGUCGCUUUUCUUUAUCAUUUUCAAAAAUUCAAACGCUUCACCUGAUUGCACCGCUGACUGUACCACUCUUGAUUCGUUGGCAGGAACUGUGAUCGUAUCUUCCUUUGUCGGUGCUUAAGGGGUUAUAUUAAACCUGGGAGUGUAAAUUUGACCGUUGUGGGUCAUUCUGCCUGUCCCUGCGAUGUUUGUGACAUUGACACUAACAUCCUCCAGACUCUUCUCAAAAUCAACAUCUUCAGGCUCUGCAUCUACAAUAGUUAUGUCAUACUUCCAAGGUACAACCUUGGUGCUUUCGAAUGGAAAAGGGGUAAGCAUACAGACUACCACAAGUGAUGGAUGAACAACAUCCCUUCUUUUAUAUGUUAUCUCAACAGGUUCUGGUAGAUCGAAAAAAGGUUUAAUCACUGAAACUUCCUCAUUUUUUGUAGGACCACAAACUUGUAAAACACAUUGAUCCAUCAAGUUUUGAAUAUCGGCUCAUACCAAUUUACACCCUCUUGGGUAAAUGGCACACUCUUCACAUUUAUCAUGACUGGUACUAACUAGGCCAGCUCCCACCAAUCUUGCAUGGAAUGCUAGCAAGAUAGUUUUAACAUCUUCAACAUGUUUUAUUAUACAAACAUCAGAUACAUCUUCAAUAGCAUUAAUAACACCAUGUACGGGUAAAAUAUUAUUCUUUACGUUAGGCCCAACAUCUGAAUGAAAGGAUCUUCUUCUCAACCAACUCUCGAACUAUAUGCUUCAAAGCAUAACAAUCUUCCAAAUCAUGCCCAGGAGCACCCUCAUGGAAAGGACAAUGGACAUUUUGGUUAUACCAUGGAGGAAAAUGAUCAGCUGGAGGACCCAACAGUCUGGAAGUCAUCAACCCCUUUUGCAGCAACGAUGUGUAUAACUCAUUAUACGUCAUAGGGAUCGAAGCGAAAGAAAACUAGAGAAAAGUUAGAGUUUCUUUCUCUAAUCCUUUUGAUUUUAAUUUUUUUAUAAUUGCAUUAAAUGUGAAUCCCGGUGAUUCAUCCUUAUUUAACGAUCAUUAAGGAGGAACAUUUUAUAUAUUUUAAAAUAUAAAAAAAUAUGCAUUAGUCUAUAGCAUAAGAAAAAAUAAGGCAUGAUAUCUUAGAGAUUAAGAGAAAAGAAGAUAAUUUAUAUAAUAUUUUUAAUAAUUAUUUCAUUUAAUUAACAUCCUCGUAGAGUACAUAGCCAUAACUACAAAGUCCAUGAAUUUAAAUAAAAACAAAAAUUAAAUAAGUUAUUAGGUGCCAAUAUCAUUAAUAAGGACAACUUAUUGAAUAUUAUAGUAAGACAAAUCUAUACUCUAUUGAAUUGUCAUUAUCAUAUGUGGAGUCACUCAACCACAAAUACAAUAUUUGAAAGCACAAAAAGGUCUCAAAGGAGGUUCACAAUCACUUGUUGGACAAUCAGCAAGAACAAAACAUGUACGACGUUCCGCUGCUGUAAUGAAAAAAAGAAAGAAUAGAAAUUUAUAUUACUAAAAUAGAAUAAAAUAUUAUGUACAGAAAAAAAUAGGAUAAAAUAUUAUGUAUAGAAAAAUAAAAAAAUUUAAAAAGGAAAAAUGAUUUACCAUUAACGUUAAUUAUAACAAGAAAUAGAAAAAGAAAGAUGCUCAUAACAUGGACUAAGUUGAUAAUUUUAGCCAUAUUUUUACCCUUUGUAUGUAUGUAUUAGAUAGUGUAUUACUUUAUCACUUUAUGAUUUAUAAAUUUAGUGCUCUACUUACAUCAUUUAUAUAAUUUUUAAAAAUAGUUUUUUUUAAAAUUUUAAUAUUAUUAAUUGUCUCUUAAAGUAUAUCAAUGAUUUGUAUUUUUUUUUCCUUUUACACAUUUGAAAAGGAGGCCAUUCAAAACAUACAAUUCUUAAUAACUCAUUAUUAUACUUAUUAAUUUUUAUUAUUUAUAACCUUUCAUAUUAGAAAAGGAUGUGUAUAAUUUGUAAAAUGUAUGUGUAUAAUUUGUCGCAUAUGUUAGCACGGUCUAGAUUCUAUCUUACCUAUUGUAAUAAUAUAUUGAUAAAAAACUAUUAAGGGUGAGGAUGUUGUGGCCACCCAUAAGGAGAGACACCUUUCUACAGCCCGCUAUAUAUUGGGAUAAUCUCGUCUUUAAUGCCCCCUUUCAUCCCAUCAUGGAAAAUGUGGGAAAAGACACGUCUCGAUUAGAGGGAAUUUAUGCCCAUGAACCUCUAUAAAUUUCUGACCUCUAGCAUGAUGAAGAAUAGUUGAUCACAUACUCAGAAUACCUAAAGAAUACCAUAGUGAGUAAGUCCUAACUCACAGAAAAUCAUUAAGGCCUAUAGUCAUCCUACCAAUAUAAGGGUAUCAUGCAUUCUACACUUUUUAACAAGUACAACUACAUUCAAGCCAUUAUUAAUUAAAAUUCAAAUAAUUUAAAUAUAAUUUGUUAACCACCGAAUAAUUGUGGCUAAUUUUUACAAAACCGAGUAAGAACCAGAGGCUAAAUAAAUAAUAACAUCUUCAACUAUGACGGGCUUUUUUAAAAACACAACCAUCUUAAAAUUACAUUAAUGUAAAACCUAUAAAAUCCAAUCAAGAAAUUAAAUACACUUAUUACUAUUAUAAGAAAUAAUCUUUUUAUUAUGCUAUUAAGGCUAACUUUGCAAAUAAUAGUCAAACAAUUUAUUACAGUAAACUUGCUUGUGUCAUUAGUAAGCAGAUCAAGGAUAUAUAAUAUUAGACUUAUAAUGACACGUAAAACUAUCACUAAUAUUAUUUUCAAAAUCAACUACAUGUGAUUUUUCAUUUGUAAUGUCAACUUCUUCAGAGAUGGUUUGGUCAUUUGUAAAAUCAAUUACUUGUAAAUUUUGUGGUAAGGAGAGUAGAUCAGACCUAUAAAAAACUAUAAGAGAAGUUAUUAAGAAAGAUAUCGAGAUUAAUGAUUUGAAUAUAAUCAUGGUUCUUUUACUAGUAAAAAAAUACAUGUGUGUGUUCCUUCUAUGCCAGGGGUACUCAAAGGUCAUUGUAGGUGUAUAAAAAACAACGAUGAUUAAGGCUUGUCCACGACAGUGAAAAGCUAUGUAUGAUGGUAAUUAUGGUGGUUUUAUGGACCUUCUCAUGUGAGGUGAAAGACAUUUCUACGAAAUGUUAUGCUUAGGUAUAAGUAUAUAUGGUGGUGUGAUUUGUAUCAGUUAAGAUCCGUACUCUUCUCCCUUUGGAGAGAGGUAUUUAUUGAGGCUUUUGAGCCUGGGGUUUUCUUGAAUAGGGUCACCACCCACCUAGUAAAUGGUGGACUGUUGAAUCCCUAUUUCAAAGGGGGGUGUGAGUCAAUUAAUGAUACAUAUGUCUCUCUAUCCCAAAAAUAUCUUAUCCCAUGAUUUCCAUUAUUAGGCGAUAAGAAAACCCUUACGCAAGGUGAUACCCUCUGUUGGACGACAUGUUGUCGUCACCUCUCCAGAGGCAGACUACAGUCAUCACCCAAGGCAAGUCCUUUUACAAAUAUAACACUACAUAGUCUCUCAAGUAUGAGGUCUUUGAUAGAAAAGGAAGUGUUUUUAUAUUGUGUGUCAAGAGGGUAUCUCGAGGACCUGCAUCUCUUGAGGCGUACUCCCUCAGGUGGGAGUUUAGUUAGCUAGAGGAAUUUAAGUCCCUCCUAAAAAGUUAUAUGUAGUAUGGAUGAUGAGACUAUAAGUAUCUUAGGAGAUUCGUUAGACCUGUCAAUCAGGACUUCUAUCAAGCCUUCAUAUAAGACUUGUGAUUAAGUCUCUUAUGAGAGACUUCAAUCGUGCCACUUAGGUUGAUCCCGCUUGAGGAAACGCUAAGUCCCUCAAGCAAGAUUUUAAUUAACUUGGGGAAUCUAUGUCCCUCAGGAGAAAUUAUAUGUAGCAUGGUUGAUGAGGAUAUAAGUCCAUCCGAUGAGGCAUUUGACCUCUUGGGAUGGACUUCUAUCAAGCCCUUAAAUAAGACUUGCAAUUAAAUCUCAUAGGCCAUAUUUCGGUCACGCCUUUUAGGCAUGAUUUCUAUUUCUAAUAUCUCCCAAGGAAAUAUGUAGUCCCUACGGAAAGAGCUUAAUUAGCAUGAGGAAUUUAAGUCCCUCGGGUGUGAGUUUAAUUAGCCUGGGGAAUCUAAGUCCCUCCGGUGAAGUUAUAUGUAGCCUGACUGAUAAGAUUAUAAGCCUUUUAGGCAAGGUGUUGGACCUCUCGAGCAUGACUUCUAUUAAGCCAUCAAACAAGAAUUGUGAUUAAGUCUCUUAGGCGUGAUUUUGGUCGCGCCUCUUAUGCAUGAUUUCCGAGUUUGAUCCCGCUUGAGGAAACACUAAGACCAUAAAGCCGAAGUUUAAUUAGGUGAGGGAAUCUAAGUCCCACAUGUGAGAGUUUAAUUAGCAUGGGGAAUUUAAGUCCCUCAGGAAAAGUUAUAUUUAGUCUGACUAAUAAGACUAUAAGUCCCUCAAGCAAGGCGGUGGACCUCUCGGACGAGACUUCUAGUAAGACCUCAGACAAGACUUACGAUUAAGUUUCUUAGACCAGACUUCAAUUGUGCCUCUUGUGCGUGAUUUCUAUGUUUGAUCAUGCGGGGGAAAUACUAAGUCCCUUAAGCGAGAUUUUAAUUAGCAUGGGGAAAAUAAGUCUCUUAGAUGAGAGUUUAAUUAGCCUAUGAAAUCUAGGUCCCUCAAGCGAAGUUAUAUGUAGCCUGGCUUAUAAGAUUAUAAGUCUCUCAAGCAAUAUGUUAGACCUCUUGAGCGGGACUUGUAUCAAGUCCUCAUACAAGACUUGCGAUUAAGUUUCUUAGGCAAGAUGAUAAGCCAUAAUUUGUGAGUUAUUACAUACCUUAGUUUUUCUUUAUUAUAAAGAUAUUUCAUUUUAAGCUGUUAUAUUUAGUUCAUUUUGGUUGUUUUAUAGUAUUUAGUGUUGGUGUAAGCCCUAGAGGCCAAUACAUUUUGGUACUUGUAUCGAAUAAUAAAAGGCAUUCUCUUUAUUAUGGUUGAUUAAUAAAGUCCCUGGAAUAGAUAGUCCGUUUAAUGUAUUAAUGUGACUAAUCAUGAGAAACAUUAAACAUAAGGACACUUCUCUAAAGUAUCCGUAGUUGAGCUUUGUGUGAAGUGGGAUAACAUUAAAGCAUUAAGACUAUUAUGUUGUGAGACUGAUGAUCACAUCUCAUGGAUCAUGGAUAAAGAGUAUCAAGUCUUAAACAUAGGUAUGAAUAUUAGGAGUAAUAUUAUACCGGAUUGACCCGCUAUGGAAUACUAUAUAGAAAGUUAUGCAAGGUGUCAUAAGUUAUUCUCAUGGUGAUAAUAGUGUAUUCCACUCUUCGACCUGAAACCACUAUGGACCCUAGAUGUAGAGUCGAGUGCUUUAUUGCUGAUCCAACGUUGUCCGUAACUGGAUAACCAUAAGACAGUUGAUGGGUACCACAAAGCAUGCUGAGGACAUGAGUGACCUAGAUGGAAUUUGCCCAUCCUGCAUAACAGGAUAAAUGUCUAUGGCCCCAAUAUUGAACUGGACAAGGAUGACACGGUCUAUGCCUUGUGUUCAAUAUAGACAUAAGGGCAAAAGGUAAUUAUACACAUAAGUAUUAUCACAGAAGGAAUUGUCAGAUCACAUGACAUUUUCGUGUCUUGGUAGCAGUGAUGUGUUGCUAGAUACCGCUCACUGUUUAUUAUGUUAAAUGCGUGAUUUAAAUAAGCAAAGUCACGAAAACCUACAGGGUCAACCACAAAGGACGGAUUGAUGAGAGAUAGGUAACUAAGGAAUACCGUAAGGUACGGUGCCCUUAAGUGAGUUAUAGAGCAUCGUAGGUACGAUGUAUUGAGUAGAAUACGAAAUAUGGUAAGUACAUGAGCUUAAGUGAUUUUGGCAUUUAUAAGAUAUGGGCCAAAAUACACUUAAGGCUUUAGCUUGAAGCCCACAUAAGUGGUUCUAUAAAUAGAACCUUGUGCAGAAGCAAAAUGGCGGUUGCAUUAUUUUCGUUUCUCACUCUCCUCUCUCACUCAACGCUUCAUUCGUACCAGGUAGCACGUAGAUUGAAGGAACCGUUCGUGUGGACUGAGUAGAGACGUUGUCAUCGUUCAACGUUCGUGAUCGUUUCGUGGAUCUGCAUCAAAGGUUUUGAUCGUCACAAGAGAUCUGCACCAAGGUUUCGAUCAUCACAAGAGGUAAAAUUUCUAUCACUGAUCAUGACCAUUCGUAAGGAUCUCUAAAGGAGAAAUUUUAUUUUCGGCUGCGUUUUGGACCGCAAUUCUCCUUCAGUGGUAUCAGAGCCACUUACGAAACCAUGACUCGGAUAGCUGUUUUAUUUUCUGUAUUAAUAUGAUUAAAAGACAGAAUGAAUCAAUUAAUUAAACGAGUAAUUAAAUUUGGCAUCAUGAGUGUACGAGUUGGAUGAUUGAUGUUGAUUAUGCUUCGGAAUCCGACAUAGUAUGGUAAGCAGCGAUACAUCGAUCGUCCAUAGGUUACGCAAUGACCGAUCAACUUAUAUAUGAUAUAAGUAAUCCUAAUCGCAAAAUACGGUAAGUUAUUGAUAUAGCUUCUGUUUCGUUCAUUCGAACACUAAAUGAUGUUUUCCUUUGACGAUCAUGGUCAUUUGCUUGGAAUCCGACAUUAGUAUGGUGAAGCAAUGACCUGUUGAUCAUCAUACUGAAUUAACAAUCGAGGUGUGUUGAACGGUCUGGAAAUUGGCGCAUUAGGGUUGGUGACGGCGCAAGUGUGUGCCGUCAGAGAGUUGUGAAUUUAAGGCUUUGGAACAGUCUUUUGACUAUUUCAAAAGUUCUGUUUAUUUUGGCCGUGACGCUCUGACAAGCCUGUAACGAGCGUAACAUGAUGGGCGUAGCGGUCGUCACGUGCUUUGUGACGGUCGUCAAUUCACAAGUCCAGAAAACUAGGCAUUUCUGUUUUUGGCCCUGUGACGGUCGUAACGUGUUUGUGUGACGGUCGUCACACUCACAUGGCCUGUGACGGUCGUCACAUGCCUGUGACGGUCGUCACACUCACAGAGUCAAAAUUUGGGUUUCUAUUUUUGUGCCUACGCAAGAGUUUGUGUUGAUGCAAAAACAAUGUCCAUUUCAAAUGAAUUGUUCAUUAAAAUUUUGACAGGGGCGCUGCCCCUCCAACCCGCAAGGGCGCUGCCCUGACCCCGUCCGCUGACCGGGCAGCGGAAACCCCGGCUAACUCUGCGUAGUGUGAUCGGUCGCCGAAAUUUUAUUUGGUUAAUUAAUUAAAGGAAUUAAAAUUUAAUAAUAACAAUGUGUUUAUUAUUUAUUGCCUUGUGGUGAUCAGUUAUUGGCCUUAGUUUGUCCUUUAUUUUGUUUGGGUUUAAAAUACGACAUGCGUGUCGUGUCUCUCUUUGAUGCUUAAUGUAACUUCUUUCUCAUCUCAAACCCUCGUAUGUAAAACGAGUUUCUUCUGGAAUGUAAUAUUAUGAAUAAAGAGAAGAAGAGACAUGUUAUGAAGAAGAGAGAUUUCAAUAUCAAAGAGGACAAUCUUGAAGAUCUUGCUUGGAAAGCUUAGAGAAGAAUUCAAUAUUAAAGGAGGACAACCUUGAAGAUCUUGCUUGGAGAAGCUUAGAUCGUUGUAGUUAGCUUAGGUUCUCAUUGGCUUGGGAGAAAAUCGCGCUAGGGCCAUGACUUUCAUUUGUUGUAUGUAUGUUGAUGCAUGUGAAUGUAUGUUUGCUGCAUGUGAGAGACGAUUUAUUGAUAAACAAGCCGGUGAGAUCAGUAUAAUUGCAAUUCCCUCAAAUUAAAUAUUAAGUUUAUGCUUUCCAAGUUUUAACACUCAUCAAGACUAGUAAUGGAUAAUGUAGGUUUCGCCUACGCGAGGUGCAUGAUCUAUAUAUUAGUAAGGUGCGAUGGGAUAAUUGUAAUAUCCAACUGUUAAAACAAUGGGUCAAACUUAACUAAACAAAUUAUAAUAUAUUAUAUGUGUUUGCUUUCCAAGUUUAGCACUCAUCAAGACUGGUAUCGGAUAUGUAGGUGUCGCUACGCGAGGUGCAUGUUUUGUAUUAGUAGGUGCGAUGGGAUAAUUGUAUAUCCAACUGCUAAAACGAUGAGUCAAACUUGAUUAUUUUUUCUUAUAUAUGUUUAGAAGCAAGAGUUGGGAAUAAUCCAUAUGAUGGAUUGGAAUAGAAGUUAUUCACCCAAUUGAAAUUUUCGAGAGUUGUAUGAGAAUACAAUUGGAAGGAGUUCCUACCAUAAUAACCUAGUUUGUUGUAAUCCGCCUACGCGGACUUAGAACGAAGUGAAAUAUGGAUCUCGACCCACUAGAAAAUCUUCCAACGGGAUUUUCCGAAUCAAAUGAUGAGGGUCAUUUGUUGAGUAAAAUAGUGGGAGAAAUAAUUAAAGGCCUGAUUAAAUAUGUCAAUGAUACUUAUAUUUUCAUUAUCCUUAUGUAGAUUACCAUGACAGCGAACACCUACAACAUCUUGAGAUCAAUCCUUGAUAAGGAAAUUGUCUGGGACAAAUUUUCUGGAUUGACACCGAAACCUGAGGAUUGUCCUCAAACAUAAUAGAAAGCUGUAUGUCUUGGAGACACCUGUUCCUGAAGAGGAACCUCCUAGUUCUGCACCUAAGGCAGAAAGAGAUGCUUAUAAGAAGCAUGUCGAUGUGCCAACGAAACUGCUUGUCUCAUGCUGGAUGUCAUGAACUCAGAGUGCAAAAGCAACAUGAGACACUGACAGCGUUCGAUAUGAUCGAACACAUGAAGAUGCUCUAUCAAGAGCAAGCAAGGCAUAAGGAGGUUUGAAGUUUCAAAACCCUUUUCAAGGCAAGUUAGCUGAGGGAGCCCCUAUAAGUCCCAUGUGCUCAAGAUGAUUGGGUAUAUGGAAAAGCUUGAAUGGUUGGGUUUUUCCUCGGAAAGGAACUUGCGACUGAUUUGGUCUUGCAAUCGUUGCCAGAUAGUUUCAGUCAAUUUGUCCUAAAUUUCAAUAUGAUUGAUAUGGACAAUCUCUCUCCUAACUGCUCGCCAUGUUAAGAAUUGCCGAGCAGAAUCUGAAGACAAAAGGAAGUCCAUUCUGAUGAUCGGAAAUGGAAGAGAUAGAACAAAAGGCCCACCAGGCAGGGUGAUAAGGGAAGGGCAAGGAAGUUGCCAAACCCAGACCCACUGUUACUGUUUUGAGGCCUAGUGGAGGCUAACAAAGGCAGGCACCUGCUUCCAUUGCGGUAAGACCGGACACUGGAAGAGAAACUGCCCAAAGUACUUGGAAGAUGACAAAAUCUCCAUUCACAGGAAAAGGUGAAAGAGCUAAUGAUCUUUUGGCCUCAUACAUACUGAUGUAUGUGGACCACUGAACUUCCAGCCAGAGGAGGUUUUCAGUACUUCAUUUAUCGAUGAUUUCAGUAGAUACGGUUGUGUGUAUUUAAUGAAACACAAAUCAAAGUCCUUUGAAAAGUUCAAGGAAUUCAAGAAUGAAGUACAAAAACCAACUAGGUAAGAAUAUUAAAACUCUUCGAUCAGAUCGAGGCGGUGGAUAUUUAAGCCUAAAGUUUGAUGACCAUCUGAAAGAGUGUGGGAUCUAUCCCAACUUAUCUCCUGGAACACCACAAUGGAAUGGUGUAUCUGAGAGAAGAAAUCGAACCCUGUUAGACAUGGCCGAUCCAUGAUGAGUCACGCCGAUCUUCCAAACUCCAUUUGGGGACAUGCACUAUUGACAGCUGCUUACACACUUAACCGUGUUCCAUCCAAAAAGGUUGAGAAGACACCAUAUGAGAUAUGGAGUGGUAAGAACCACAUAUGUCUUACUAAAGAUUUGGGUUGCGAGGUUUAUAUGAAACGACAAUUUCAACUAAGCUUGAGCCCAAAUCUGACAAAUGCUUAUUUGUGGGUAUCCUAAAGAAACAAAAGGUAUUACUUCUACAACCUUCUGAGGGGAAAAUGUUUGUCGCUCGAACCUGAGUUUUCCUAGAGGGAUUUUAUUUCAAAGGAACCAGUGGGAGGAAAGUAGAGCUUGAAGAAAUUCAAGAAUCACAAAGCAUGCACACGUAUGAGAAUUGGAGCAGGAAACACAAGUAGUUGUGUAAGAGCAACCUGCUCAAGUAGAACAAGACUGUGUAGGUCAGGCAGGAUACGUCACCUACCUGAGAUAUAUGGAUAUCUGAUCAAGGUGAUGUAUUACUCAUGGAUCAAGAUGAGCUUGUGACCUACUCAUGGAAUCUUCGUUUGAUGAAACAGUAAAACAAUAUGGAUUCAUCAAGAACGAAGAUGAGCCUUGUGUCUACAAGAAGGUUAGUGGGAGCAUGAUCGUAUUCCUGGUAUUAUAUGUAGAUGACAUAUUACUUAUUGGAAACGAUAUCCUACCCUGUAACAAGCAAAGUCUUGGGUGGGGAAAUGCUUAUCUAUGAAGGACCUAGGUGAAGCAGCCUAUAUAUUAGGAAUCAGAAUCUAUGAGAUAGAUCAUAAAAUGCUUGCCUAAGUCAUAAGCAUAGACAAGGUGCUGAGACGCUUUAAUAUGAAUGAUUCCAAUGGUAUGUGUUUUGCUGAAAUGGUGGCGCUGUGAGCUUGAAAAGUUCAAAGCAAAUACAGUUGCUGAUUCUACAACGAGGCCGAGUAUAUUGCUGCCUCAAAUGCAGAAAAGGGGUUGUUUGGAUCAAAAAGUUCAUUAGUGAACUGGCAUAGUCCCUAGCAUAUGGAUCCCAUUGGUCUCUAUUAUGAUAGCAAUGGUGCUAUUGCACAAGCCAAGGAGCCUAGAUCUCACAACGAUCCAAACACAUACUUAGCGUGUAUCAUCUCAUUCGAGAGAAUAGAUAAGAGGAGAUGUGUGAAAAUAUGUAAAGUACCUACACUUGACAAUACAGUUGACCACUGACAAAGCCUCUUGCGCAGCAGAAGCAUGAUGGCCAUACUAGAUCAAUGGGCAUACGGGGUAUGCCUGAUUGGCUCUAGUGCUAGUGGGAUUGUUGGUGUAAGCCCUAGAGGCCAAUACAUUUUGGUACUUGUAUCGAUAAUAAAGGCAUUCUCUUUAUUAUGGUGAUUGAUAAUAGUCCCUGGAAUAGAUAGUCCGUUUAUGUAUUAAGUUGUGACUUAAUCAUGAGAAACAUUACAUAAGGACACUAUUCCUAAAUAUCCGUAGUCGAGCUUUAGUGUGAAGUGGGAUAACAUUAAGCAUUAAGACUAUUAUGUUGUAGACUGAUGAUCACAUCUCAUGGAUCAUGGAUAAAGAGUUAUCAAGUCUUAAACAUACGGUAUGAAUAUUAGGAGUUAUUUAUACCGGAUUGACCCGCUAUGAGAAUACUAUAUAGAAAGUUUAUGCAAGGUGUCAUAAGUUAUUCUCAUGGUGAUAAAUAGUGUAUUCCACUCUUCGACCUGAAACCUAUUGGACCCUAGAUGUAGAGUCGAGUGCUUUAUGUCUAAUCCAACGUUGUCCGUACUGGAUAACCAUAAAGACAGUUGAUGGGUACUCCACAAAGCAUGCUGAGGGACAUGAGUGACCUAGAUGAAUUUGCCCAUCCUGCAUAACAGGAUAAAUGUCUAUGGGCCCAAUAUUGAACUGGACAAGGAUGACACGGUCUAUGCCUUGUGUUCAAUAUAGACAUAAGGGCAAAAGAGGUAAUUAUACACAUAAGUAUUAUCACAGAAGGAAUUGUCAAAUCACAUGACAUUUUCGUGUCUUGGGUAGCAGUGAUGUGUUGCUAGAUACGGCUCACUGUUUAUUAUGUUAAAUGCGUGAUUUAUAUAAUGUCAACGUCACGAAACCUACAGGGUCACACACAAAGGACGGAUUGAUGAGAGAAAGAGUAACUAAGGAAUACCGUAAGGUACGGUGCCCUAAGUGAGUUAUAGAGCAUCGUAAGGUACGAUGUACUUGAGUAGAAUACGAAAUGAGUAAGGUACCAUGAGCUUAAGUGAUUUUGGGCAUAUAAGAUAUGGGCCAAAAACACUUAAUGGGCUUUUAGCUUGAAGCCCCACCAAGUGGUUCUAUAAAUAGAACCCUUGUGUCAGAAGCAAAAAAAUUGGCGGUUGCAUUAUUUUCGUUUUCUCACUCCUCUCUCUCUUCUCACUCAAGCCUUCAUUCGUACCAGUAGCACUGAGAUUGAAGGAACUCGUUCGUGUGACUGAGUAGAGACGUUGUCAUCGUUCAACGUUCGUGAUCGUUUCGUGGAUCUGCAUCAAAGGUUUUGAUCGUCACAAGAGAUCUGCACCAAAGGUUUCGAUCAUCACAAGAGGUAAAUAUUCUAUCACUGAUCAUGACCAUUCGUAAGGAUCUCUAAAGGAGAAAUUUUAAUUUCCGCUGCGUUUUGGACCGCAAUUCUCCUUCAUUUAGCCUGGAGCACAAUAGGUGCUCCCUUUUGUUGGUUUAAAGUGUUUGUUGCUUGAUGAAAGGUUUACUCUGUCGAGCUAAGGCAAGAUUGCAGUGUUCAACAACUAGGAGCGCAAUCUGAAACAAAAAGGUGAACUAAACCAAAGAGGAAAAUGGAGAAAACAGUUGAACUCCUAGAGUAAUGUAGAAGGAUUGAUGUAUUGGAGGGAAUCUCUGAUGUGUAAGGAAGAAAAUUCAUUUGGAACAAGUGGAUAAGAUCAAGAGGCGCUAAAAGACAAAAGUUGGUACAAUUGCACGACCACCAUUCUGCGUGUUUUGCAUGAAAGAACAAUGUCGUUUGCACCCUAUUGUGGCAGUCUGCCUCAAGGUGCCUUGUCUCCCACAAAUGUUCCCUUGUACCUGAUAUCUUGCUUGUUAAGCAUAUGGAAUGAUGUGAAGGUGUUGAUUCUUGUACUAGGCUUGAUUUGAUUUUCUUAUUUUUGGCCCAUGAUCUAAGACAUCUCAAGAAACCCUAGUGAAGGCCUAUAAAUAGGCCCUGCUGAAGAUUGAGAAUUUUUUUUUAGCAUUAUUUCAUAAUAAAAUAUAGAAGAUAACAAUGUGAGGUCAGUGGAGAGAAAAGAGAGAGUUUCUUCUUCUCACCAUUUCCUAUACCAUCUACUGAGCCCUGGCAUGACUGGAGUCAUAUCUUGUUGAUUAUCCAUUUCAAGAAGUCUUCAAGUUACUCUUAGAUUUAUAUUUCUUUUUCAGCAUUUUUUUAAGUACAUAUCUUUUGAGAACCAUGUCUAUAGCUUGUACUUGGCUAAUCAUGAGCUAAACCUUUUAUAUGUUAAGUAAUGGAAAGUUAAUGUUAUGAUGUUUUUAUGUUAAGUGAUGCGUUGUUUAGAGCCUUGUUUUAUAUGUGUUAACUCGUUUACAAAUCUGACUCUUUGAGUGAUCAACUUAGGAAAAGAUAAAAGCUUGUUGUUGUGAGAGAUCCAACAACAAGGGAAUUUCAUCAAACAAUUUUAUUAAAUAAUCUUGAAUGAAAAAGAACCGUUGGAAUCUAGUAUUUCGGUGGAACCCCGAAUGAUUGAUCCCGAGGCUUAGAUCUUGUUCUCAUCAAACAUUCGUCAUUCACUUAUAAAAUACAUCCAACUAAUCGAACUCUUUUUCUCACCGCCAUGCGAUUGAUACAAAAAAAAUUUCAAUAACAAAAUAUAUCUCGUCUUAAGAUGAUACAAAGCAAUGUUUUAUCCAUAAUCGUUGAGUUCUGAUAAGUGACGUUUCCCGUGAAUGUUGAUUCGUAGAUCCAUUCAAUGUGAUGCAAACGCCCGCUCCUCACCUGUUUUGGGUAAAAUAAUAUUCUUUGUCGAUUAAUACAAGAUACCUUUCACUAAAAUCAACCAAUAUAUGUCUUGAAUUCUCUAUUGCAUCCGGAGAUAUAUAGGAGCAGUAUUGCGAAAUCUUGUCAGACCCAUUAAUAAAAAAAUCUUCUUUAGUCCUUUUCCCCAUAAUAAUAUAAAAAAAAUAGGUUUUCUCUCAUUAAUAAAAUUCAAAACAUUUAUCUUCUCUCUUUUUCUAUCCCAAAUAAGUAGAAUAUCGCAAACUAACAUAAUCUAACAUUCAAAUCGAUACUAACUAAACGGUUCCCAUCGAGUACAACAGACGUGGGGGUUGCUAAUACAUUCCUCUUGUGUAACUGACUCCUAAAUCCUGAUAUUGGUUGUGAUGACCAUAUCUUAUCCUUUCUUUUAGGGGUUUUAUCGAUAUUUUUCCUUUCCCUCUUUGGAAAUAAAUAAAAUUCGGUGGUGACUUUGUUCGGUCUUUCCCGUGAACGUGCGAUUGCUCUACGCGAGCGCCGUGUUCUCAUUUUUUGAGGUACGAUACUUACUCUUACAACAAGCUAUUUAUAUAUAAAUUUAUCAAUAAUAGGGCUCCGCAUAUUUAUUCUCCUUGGGUUGGUUUCGAAUGGAAUACUAAGAAAUUUGAAACUCCACAUUUUUUAACAUAAUGCGGUUUGUAUCAGUUUGAUUCGGUUUGCAAAAUACAAAUCACAAACUAAGCUGAAUCGUGCGGUUCUGUUGAAAACUGACUCAAACACAUUUGAACUAAAUGAUGUCCUUUUUCAAUUUUUGAUUCGAUUUAGUUAGCAGUUUUCUAUUGAAUGAGUUUGGUUUUAAACACCCCUAAUAUCAAUCAACUUUCUCAUAAUCUCUAGUCUCACUUGUACUCAAAUGUUAGAUAUCAAUCUGAAAUGGUUAUUAAUGAAUGCAGGUUUGAAGUGAAUGAAAGUGUUUGUUGAAGAUAACUAUUAAGAUUGAGAUACCAAUAUAAAACAAUAUAGAUUUGAGAGAUGUCAAUUGUAUUAUGGAAGUACCAUAUUAAUGUAUGCAAUGCAGACUUUGUGAAUGAAAAUGAGUGGAUAGUUAGGCGCAUCAAACUAAAACGACAUGAAUGAAGAUACAGAAAAAAUGCAAUGCAGAUGUAGAAAAAAAUGAAAAAGAUGAGUGGAAAUCGCCAUGCAUGCAUAUGCAUAAGAAAACUAGAGAUAGGUUGGAGUUUCGCUAUCUAGAGGUAGUGGUCCUUUUGAUUUUUAAUAUUUUUUAGUUGCAUUAAUGUGAAUCCGGGUUAUUAAGGAGGAACACUUUAUACAUUUUGAAAUGCAAAAAUAUAUUAAAUAUGCAUUAGUCUAUAGCAUAAGAAAAAGUAAGACGCGAUAUCUUCGAAACUAAGAGAAAAGAAGAUAAUUUAUAUGAUAAUUUUAAUACUUUAUUUAAUUUCAUUAACAUCCUCUUAGAGUACAAGCCAUAACUACAAGGUCCGAAAAUUUAAAUAAAAAUAAAAGUUAAAGAUAUUAUUAGAUACCAACAUCAUUAAUAAGGACAAUUUAUUGAAUAUUAUAGUAAGGCAAGUCUAUACUCUAUUGGAUCAUGUCAUCAUAUGUGGAGUCACUCAACCACAAAGACAAUAUUUGAAAGCACAAAAAGGUCUCGUAGGAGGUUCACAAUCACUUGUUGGACAAUCAGCAGGAGUGAAACAUGUACGACGUUCCGCUGCUGUAAUGAAAAAAGAGAAUAUAAAUAUAUUACUAAAAUAGGACAAAAUAUUAUGUACAAAAAAAUGGAAAUAAAUAAAUAAAAGGAAAAUGAUUUACCAUUAACAUUUAUUGUAACAAGAAAUAGAAAAAGAAAGAUGAUCAUAACAUGGACUAAGUUGAUAAUUUUAGUCAUAUUUUCCACCUUUUGUAUGUAUGUAUUAGAUAGAGUAUUACUUUCUUACUUUAUGAUUUAUAAAUUUAAUGCUCUACUUACAUCAUUUAUAUAGUUUUUUAUAAUAAAUUUUUUAAAUUUUAAUAUUGUUAAAUGUCUCUUAAG